UACGGGGGGAGCAAGCGUUGUUCGGAUUUACUGGGCGUAAAGGGCGCGUAGGCGGUCGUGACAAGUCACUUGUGAAAUCUCCGGGCUUAACUCGGAACGGUCAAGUGAUACUGUCGGACUAGAGUACAGAAGGGGCAACUGGAAUUCUCGGUGUAGCGGUGAAAUGCGUAGAUAUCGAGAGGAACACCUGCGGCGAAGGCGGGUUGCUGGGCUGAUACUGACGCUGAGGAGCGAAAGCAUGGGGAGCGAACAGG
rnacentral:rRNA from 1 species